AGAGACAGCAGCAGCCGCGGUAAUACGAAGGGUGCAAGCGCUACUCGGAAUUACUGGGCGUAAAGCGUGCGCAGGCGGUUGUGUAAGACAGGUGUGAAACCCCCGGGCUUAACCUGGGAACUGCGCUUGUGACUGCACAGCUAGAGUAUGGCAGAGGGGGGUGGAAUUCCACGUGUAGCAGUGAAAUGCGUAGAGAUGUGGAGGAACACCGAUGGCGAAGGCAGCCCCCUGGGCCAAUACUGACGCUCAUGCACGAAAGCGUGGGGAGCAAACAGGAUUAGAUACCCCGGUAGUCCCUGUCUCUUAUAC
rnacentral:rRNA from 1 species